rnacentral:rRNA from 1 species
UGGGGGAUAUUGCACAAUGGGCGAAAGCCUGAUGCAGCGACGCCGCGUGGGGGAUGAAGGCCUGCGGGUUGUAAACUUCGUUUGCUCUGAACAAGGCAUGCCUUUGGGGUGUGUUGAGUGUAGGGGUUGAUUAGCGCCGGCUAACUACGUGCCAGCAGCCGCGUUAAUACGUAGGGCGCGAGCGUUGUCCGGAAUUAUUGGGCGUAAAGGUCUUGUAGGUGGCUGGUUGCGUCUGUCGUGAAAGCUCAUGGCUUAACUGUGGGUUUGCGUUGUGUACGGGCUAGCUUGAGUGCAGUAGGGUAUGCUGUAAUUCCUGGUGUAGCGGUCGCAUGCGCAGCUAUCAUGAGGCAUACCGGUGGCGAAGGCGGGUCUCUGGGCUGUUACUGACGAUGAGGAGCGAAAGCGUGGGGCGCGAACAGG